AACACUGUUAACCUGCGGUACCUGCGGAGGGAUCAUUACCGAGUCUUCGUACUCAAAACAACCCUUCUGUGGACCUGAAUAAAACCGUUGCCUCGGCAGGCGGCCCUACCUACGGGCCAGAUAGUUCGGCUGCCUCCAGGGAGGAAACCCUCCCUGAGGUGCUGGCGCCAGCCGCUGGCCCCAAACCAAAACUCUAGUAACUUUUACCUUCUGAGUUUUAAUGCAAGAAAUAAGUCGAAA
rnacentral:misc_RNA from 1 species